rnacentral:rRNA from 1 species
GCUAAUACCGCAUAACGUCGCAAGACCAAAGUGGGGGACCUUCGGGCCUCAUGCCAUCAGAUGUGCCCAGAUGGGAUUAGCUAGUAGGUGGGGUAAUGGCUCACCUAGGCGACGAUCCCUAGCUGGUCUGAGAGGAUGACCAGCCACACUGGAACUGAGACACGGUCCAGACUCCUACGGGAGGCAGCAGUGGGGAAUAUUGCACAAUGGGCGCAAGCCUGAUGCAGCCAUGCCGCGUGUGUGAAGAAGGCCUUCGGGUUGUAAAGCACUUUCAGCGGGGAGGAAGGCGAUAAGGUUAAUAACCUUGUCGAUUGACGUUACCCGCAGAAGAAGCACCGGCUAACUCCGUGCCAGCAGCCGCGGUAAUACGGAGGGUGCAAGCGUUAAUCGGAAUUACUGGGCGUAAAGCGCACGCAGGCGGUCUGUCAAGUCGGAUGUGAAAUCCCCGGGCUCAACCUGGGAACUGCAUUCGAAACUGGCAGGCUAGAGUCUUGUAGAGGGGGGUAGAAUUCCAGGUGUAGCGGUGAAAUGCGUAGAGAUCUGGAGGAAUACCGGUGGCGAAGGCGGCCCCCUGGACAAAGACUGACGCUCAGGUGCGAAAGCGUGGGGAGCAAACAGGAUUAGAUACCCUGGUAGUCCACGCCGUAAACGAUGUCGAUUUGGAGGUUGUGCCCUUGAGGCGUGGCUUCCGGAGCUAACGCGUUAAAUCGACCGCCUGGGGAGUACGGCCGCAAGGUUAAAAACUCAAAUGAAUUGACGGGGGCCCGCACAAGCGGUGGAGCAUGUGGUUUAAAUUCGAUGCAACGCGAAGAAACCUUACCUGGUCUUGACAUCCACAGAACUUUUCCAGAGAUGGAU